ensembl:lncRNA
CUCUCUACUUUUCUCUGUGUCACUUAAACACACCUAAAGUUCCUGCCACUCAAACCAGAUGUACACAGCCUUCUUUUCCUCAGCAAGCUUUUUUGGGGAAUUGCAGUGUCUUUCAAUCUUUAGCUUCCUUUGAUGAGGUCAGUUGUCUCUUCCUGGCUAUCACAGAGGCUGUCAUGCUGACAUGAUACAGGAGGAUGUAGUCUUUAAUGAGUGCCUUUGGCACUACUUGUCAAUUGCUUAUUUUCCAGUGAUGUUGCAUUAAAGUAUUAAUUAACCACUAAAUUCAAGUUGACCUCUUAAUUGAGGAGGCUUUGCUUUCCUGAAGGCAGGCAGACUGACUUUCCUAACAUGAUCUGGCACUCUUGUAUGCCAACAAGUUUUGAUCAGUGUGUAAAAUGUACCUUUACUAAAACUGUUACUGUAAUAGGUUGAUUUGAGGUUGAGGAAGUCACACUGUGUUCUAGAGUGGGAUACAAGUUGAUAUGAGCAAGAGGUAAGAGGCUGGUACCAAAGAGCAGGAGCCUGGAGCAUGUGUGAAGUUUGCCUGGUGAGCAGGUGACAGGACAGGGAGAACAGCUCUGCUCAGUGAGUCAGUGACAUAGUUCCAAAGGCCACCAGAUAAGGACUAGGAGACAUUGUCUUACUGUAAGUGGUUGUGUUUUUAUUAUUGCUGACUUUACUGUUCUGGGAGUCUUUUGAUUCCUUCAAAUAAACUGCUAAGAAGUCUAGCAUUCAAAUGUAUGUUGUGAACACAAAAAGAUUGAGAACUACUGAUUUUGUGUUUUAGAAAAUAAACUAGAAGUUGACAGGUUGUUCUUCUGACUCCUUUCAGUAAUUCUCUAUACAAUUUGAGUGAGUCAUUUAACCUCUGUCCACUUGACAGGCAAGGGUGUGGUGCUUACCACUAUGUUCCUUCCAGAAUUUAAGUAGGAAAAAUUGGUAAAGCGCUCUAACUUCAUCUGAAAAAGGUAUUAUCUGUAGUUCAAAGGAAUAAAAUUAAAGAUAUGUCCUAGCACCCAGGUUUUUGGCAGUACCUGAACUACUUGAGACAAGCUGGAACUGCCAACGUUAGGUGUUCCAAUGACAAGAACACCUCAGUGCUGAGAGACAGGCUCAGGUGGCUGAAAAGGAUCCAUCUCAGUUUAAUAAAAGGAAUUGCUGAAGAACAUCUGAGUUGUGCUAGGCACCCUUGGGACAUAAGAUAAAUACUUUUGUUGAACUAAAUAGAAGUGGUCACAGCAGCAGUAAGGAGGCGGUAAGACUUGUCCAGGAUUUGUACAGAAUCUUUUCACAGGCUGAAUGUUGCUCACAAUGUGUCCUUUGACUAUCUCUGGCUAAUUAUUAUUUUAAUCUCUUCUCAGCUUUUCCACAAAUAUAAUGUCAACCAAAGAUCUUAGGCCAUUCACAACUCUUUUGUAAAAAUUAAUGUGGAUGUGAAAAUGAGGCAUCAAAUCCUGAAGUAGAAAGUUAUUCCUGGCCAGGCGCGGUGGCUCAUGCCUGUAAUCCUGGCACUUUGGGAGGCCAGGGUGGGUGGAUCAUGAGGACAGGAGAUCGAGACCAUCCUGGCUAACAUGAUGAAACCACAUCUCUACUAAAAUACAAAAAAAUUAGCUGGGUGUGGUGACGCGUGCCUGUAGUCCCAGCUACUCAGGAGGCUGAGGCAGGGGAAUUCCUUGAACCUGGGAGGCGGAGAUUGCAGUGAGACGAGAUCGGGCCACUGCACUUCAGCCUGGCAACAGAGCAAGACUCCAUCUCAAAAAAAAAAAAAAAAAAAAAAAAAAA